UUUCCAUAGGUGAACCUGCGGAAGGAUCAUUAUUGUAUAACCGAGGUGCGAGGGCUGUCGCUGACCCGAAAGGUCGUGCACGCCCGAGUGCCCUCACACACAUCCAUCUCACCCCUAUGUGCACCACCGCGUGGGUCCCCCUUUGGCUUGUUCGGAGGGGGGCUUACGUUUUCACACAAACUUUGUAUGCAGUGUAGAAUGUAUUUUUUGUUUUUGCGAUCACGCAAUCAAUACAACUUUCAACAACGGAUCUCUUGGCUCUCGCAUCGAUGAGAACGCAGC
rnacentral:misc_RNA from 1 species